UACAGAGGGUGCGAGCGUUAAUCGGAAUUACUGGGCGUAAAGCGCGCGUAGGCGGCUUGUUAAGUCAAAUGUGAAAUCCCCGAGCUUAACUUGGGCAUUGCAUUCGAUACUGGCAAGCUAGAGUAUGGGAGAGGAAGGUAGAAUUCCAGGUGUAGCGGUGAAAUGCGUAGAGAUCUGGAGGAAUACCGAUGGCGAAGGCAGCCUUCUGGCCUAAUACUGACGCUGAGGCGCGAAAGCGUGGGGAGCAAACAGG
rnacentral:rRNA from 1 species